rnacentral:lncRNA from 1 species
AGAAGAUCUUAGCAAUUUAGGAAAAUUCUAAUUUUUAAAGAUUUUUUUUUGAUCAGACUCCCAAGAAUUGUAGCAUUGGAUUCAGUCCAAAAUGAAACCAGUGCUGGGUUAAGAAUUUUUUAACUCAGUCAUAUAACUAUAAUAAAAAAUGUAAGAGAUUUGUAACUUUUUGGAAACUAAAAUAAUAAUAAUUAAUUCUGAAAAUUCAUUUCUUUUGAAAGGAAUAGCUUUUAUCAGUUUUAAUACAUUUGGCUAUACUUUUUUAAAAGGGGGAAGUAGAAAUAUUGAAAAUGAUGACAAACUCUAACUGCAAGCAAAGAACAUUUUUGAAAUCUGCUUUCUUGUCCAGCUGUGGGAAUACUCCCAACUUGUAUUCACUUUCAUCAUAUAAAAGCUUCAAAUUCCUGUUUGGUGAUUUCUAUUGUCAUUAUUUUCUGAUUGAGAUCUUUGUGACCAUUGGAUUCCUGAUUAAUUCCUCUUAUCAGAAGCCAUUUCACUUUCUUCAGAAUCAACUGUGUUAAAAGAAUUAAGAGGAGGCCAAAGUUAGUCUCUUUGACAGAUGUCAGGGAUGUGGAUGAAGCAGAGAAGUUUCAUCACCAUCUGUCCAUUAUUGGAUGGGUCCGGCAAAAAAUUAACAGUUUAUCUGAAUGAACAGCUAUAAAAGAAAUCAUCAGACAGAAUAGAUUUUAAGAUUUAAAGGUUAACUUGUGCCAUGACAUUCUUCUGACAUUGUGAAUGACAAUGUCAGAAGAAUGUCACUACUACUUCAGGUAUGUUUAUUGUUUAGGAGUUAGUUGGUUCUUCC